AUUGAACGCUGGCGGCAGGCCUAACACAUGCAAGUCGAACGAGUGGCGGACGGGUGAGUAAUGUCUGGGAAACUGCCUGAGGGAGGGGGAUAACUACUGGAAACGGUAGCUAAUACCGCAUACCAUCAGAUGUGCCCAGAUGGGAUUAGCGUGUUGGUGGGGUAACGGCUAACCAAGGCGACGAUCCCUAGCUGGUCUGAGAGGAUGGACGGCCACACUGGAACUGAGACACGGUCCAGACUCCUACGGGCGGCAGCAUUGGGGAAUAUUGCACCAUGGGCGAAAGCCUGAUGCAGCCAUGCCGCGUGCAUGAAGAAGGCCUUCGGGUUGGAAAGUACUGUCAGCGGGGAGGCGUUACCCGCAGAAGAAGCACCGGCUAACUCCGUGCCAGCAGCCGCGGUAAUUC
rnacentral:rRNA from 1 species